AGUUGAUGCUACACUUGGAGGAGAGGAAGAUAUGCGGGAGGGUAGGCAUAGGGUCCGGAGUGACCGAGACAAAUUGGAGGAUUGGGCCAAAAGAAAUCUGAUGAGGUUCAACAAGGACAAGUGCAGAGUCCUGCACUUAGGAUGGAAGAAUCUCAUGCACCGCUACAGGCUGGGGACUG